rnacentral:rRNA from 1 species
CGGACGGGUGAGUAACACGUGGAUAACCUAUCUAUAAGACUGGGAUAACUUCGGGAAACCGGAGCUAAUACCGGAUAAUAUAUUGAACCGCAUGGUUCAAUAGUGAAAGACGGUUUUGCUGUCACUUAUAGAAGGAUCCGCGCCGCAUUAGCUAGUUGGUAAGGUAACGGCUUACCAAGGCAACGAUGCGUAGCCGACCUGAGAGGGUGAUCGGCCACACUGGAACUGAGACACGGUCCAG